rnacentral:rRNA from 1 species
UACGUAGGGGGCAAGCGUUGUCCGGAUUUAUUGGGCGUAAAGAGCGUGUAGGCGGCCGUACAGGUCAGCUGUGAAAACUCGAGGCUCAACCUCGAGACGUCGGUUGAAACCGUACGGCUAGAGUCCGGAAGAGGAGAGUGGAAUUCCUGGUGUAGCGGUGAAAUGCGCAGAUAUCAGGAGGAACACCAGCGGCGAAGGCGCUGCUCUGGGCCGGUACUGACGCUGAGGAGCGAAAGCGUGGGGAGCGAACAGG